CCUACGGGGUGCAACAGUGAGGAAUAUUGGUCAAUGGGCGGAAGCCUGAACCAGCCAAGUAGCGUGCAGGAUGACGGCUCUACGGGUUGUAAACUGCUUUUAUACGGGAAUAACGCGCCUUACGUGUAGGGCUUGGCAUGUACCGUUUGAAUAAGGACCGGCUAAUUCCGUGCCAGUAGCCGCGGUAAUCCGGAAGGUCCGGGCGUUAUCCGGAUUUAUUGGGGUUAAAGGGCCAGUAGGCCGAAUGUCUAGCGUGCUGUGAAAUGUCCGGGCUCAACCCGGGCAGUGCAGCGCAAACUGGCGUGCUUGAGACCGCGGAAAGCAGGCGGAAUUCGAGGUGUAGCGGUGAAAUGCGUAGAUAUGACGAAGAACCCCGAUUGCGAAGGCAGCUUGCUGCAGCGGAACUGACGCUGAUGCGCGAAAGCGCGGGUAUCGAACAGGAUUAGAUACCCCUGUAGUC
rnacentral:rRNA from 1 species